GAUGAACGCUGGCGGCGUGCCUAAUACAUGCAAGUCGAGCGAACGGACGAGAAGCUUGCUUCUCUGAUGUUAGCGGCGGACGGGUGAGUAACACGUGGAUAACCUACCUAUAAGACUGGGAUAACUUCGGGAAACCGGAGCUAAUACCGGAUGAUAUUUUGAACCGCAUGGUUCAAAAGUGAAAGACGGUCUUGCUGUCACUUAUAGAUAGAUCCGCGCUGCAUUAGCUAGUUGGUAAGGUAACGGCUUACCAAGGCAACGAUGCAUAGCCGACCUGAGAGGGUGAUCGGCCACACUGGAACUGAGACACGGUCCAGACUCCUACGGGAGGCAGCAGUAGGGAAUCUUCCGCAAUGGGCGAAAGCCUGACGGAGCAACGCCGCGUGAGUGAUGAAGGUCUUCGGAUCGUAAAACUCUGUUAUUAGGGAAGAACAUAUGUGUAAGUAACUGUGCACAUCUUGACGGCACCUAAUCAGAAAGCCACGGCUAACUACGUG
rnacentral:rRNA from 1 species